UUGACACACGUGUUAGUGAGAUAUCUGUGAUUUUAUAAUAAUUCUGUGUAUUUCUUUUAUAAAUUUUCAGUGCAAAUAGUUAAUUUUUAUGGUUUGUGGGUUUUACUAACAUAAUUCGGUUACGGUUAUGGGUUAACAGAGAGUCUAUUACUUUUAUAUGUUUCAAAAUUAAAUUAAGCCUGUAAUCUCGACCGUACCGUUCAAUCUCCAUCGUGUCUUCUCCAUCGCACGUGACAUUGGCGAAAUAAU